AACGAACGCUGGCGGCAUGCCUAAUACAUGCAAGUCGAACGAUCACUUCGGUGGUAGUGGCGCACGGGUGCGUAACGCGUGGGAAUCUGCCCUUGGGUUCGGAAUAACGUCGGGAAACUGACGCUAAUACCGGAUGAUGACGUAAGUCCAAAGAUUUAUCGCCCAGGGAUGAGCCCGCGUAGGAUUAGCUAGUUGGUGGGGUAAAGGCCUACCAAGGCGACGAUCCUUAGCUGGUCUGAGAGGAUGAUCAGCCACACUGGGACUGAGACACGGCCCAGACUCCUACGGGAGGCAGCAGUAGGGAAUAUUGGACAAUGGGGGCAACCCUGAUCCAGCAAUGCCGCGUGAGUGAUGAAGGCCUUAGGGUUGUAAAGCUCUUUUACCCGGGAUGAUAAUGACAGUACCGGGAGAAUAAGCCCCGGCUAACUCCGUGCCAGCAGCCGCCGUAA
rnacentral:rRNA from 1 species